rnacentral:rRNA from 1 species
UACGUAGGGGGCUAGCGUUGUCCGGAAUCAUUGGGCGUAAAGCGCGUGUAGGCGGUUCGGUAAGUCCGCUGUGAAAGUCGGGGGCUCAACCCUCGAAUGCCGGUGGAUACUGUCGGACUAGAGUACGGGAGAGGCGAGUGGAAUUCCUGGUGUAGCGGUGAAAUGCGCAGAUAUCAGGAGGAACACCGAUUGCGAAGGCAGCUCGCUGGAACGUUACUGACGCUGAGACGCGAAAGCGUGGGGAGCAAACAGG